rnacentral:rRNA from 1 species
AGUGAACGCUGGCGGUAGGCCUAACACAUGCAAGUCGAACGGCAGCACAGUAAGAGCUUGCUCUUACGGGUGGCGAGUGGCGGACGGGUGAGGAAUACAUCGGAAUCUACUUUUUCGUGGGGGAUAACGUAGGGAAACUUACGCUAAUACCGCAUACGACCUACGGGUGAAAGCAGUGGAUCUUCUGACCUUGCGCGAUUGAAUGAGCCGAUGUCGGAUUAGCUAGUUGGCGGGGUAAAGGCCCACCAAGGCGACGAUCCGUAGCUGGUCUGAGAGGAUGAUCAGCCACACUGGAACUGAGACACGGUCCAGACUCCUACGGGAGGCAGCAGUGGCGAAUAUUGGACAAUGGGCGCAAGCCUGAUCCAGCCAUACCGCGUGGGUGAAGAAGGCCUUCGGGUUGUAAAGCCCUUUUGUUGGGAAAGAAAAGCAGCAGGUUAAUACCACGCUGUUCUGACGGUACCCAAAGAAUAAGCACCGGCUAACUUCGUG